rnacentral:rRNA from 1 species
UACGUAGGGGGCAAACGUUACUCGGAAUUACUGGGCGUAAAGGGUGCGUAGGCGGCCGAGAAAGUCAAUGAUGAAAUCCCGUGGCUUAACUGCGGAACUGUCAUUGAAACUUCCCGGCUUGAGGAUAAUCGAAGAGAACGGAAUUCCCGGUGGAGCGGUGAAAUGCGUAGAUAUCGGGAGGAACACCUGAGGCGAAAGCGGUUCUCUAGACUACUCCUGACGCUGAGGCACGAAAGCUAGGGGAGCAAACGGG